UCCGUAGGGGUCUGCCAAGUCCGAUGUGAAAGCCCACGGCUCAACUGUGGAACGGCAUUGGAUACUGGCGGGCUGGAGUCUGCGAGGGGUGAGCGGAAUUCCUGGUGUAGCGGUGGAAUGCGUAGAUAUCAGGAAGAACACCGAUGGCGAAGGCGGCUCACUGGCGCAGUACUGACCCUGAGGGACGAAAGCGUGGGUAGCAAACA
rnacentral:rRNA from 1 species